GAAGGGACAGAUGGAAGGCAUCUUGAAGAGGGGGACCAAAACUGUUAUGCCUGAUGGAAAAAAAGGCUUGUGGAAUUAUCCAAAUGGAUGUUCAAUGACAUACCAAAAUCCUUGGUAGGUCAGUAAGCUCACAGUUUCAGGAUGCAUGGAUGGUUGCCAAGACCUGGAUGGAUGGAUGAAGGGGGAGCCAUGCUGCUCUAUUUAAUAAUGCCAUCAUCAGGAAACACCUUAUUAUACCCCAGCUGACUGCUGCGAGCCACCCUAAUGUAAUUUGGCUGGAACCUAGUAGCUCGCUUUCCUUUGAACCGGGCAUGCUCUGAAGGAAGGGACCGGCGCCCUGGAUGGAUCAAAGCAGGGCCUUCAUGUCACUGGAUCAUUUCAGCUUGUGCCCAGAGUUAAUGAAAGGAAGGAAAAUAUAAACAAAAUCAGCCCGCUGGGCCCGAGAGGUGCUAACUGCCAAGACCUGCUUUUGCAAAGCCCACUUUGAUGCACUGCCUGAGCAUUCGCAUAUCCCGAAAUCAACCCAAAACUCGUGAUGCAAAAAGGGCUGUAGAAAUUGUCAGGAAACGGGAGGAAGAAAAAGACAUAAAAUUUGAAGCUGUGUUUCUAUCACUGCAGCAUUCACAUUUUAUCUGCCCUGGAAGAUGCAAGCUCUUAGUGAAUAACCUGGUUUUCCUUGCCAGGGUGGCUGAAAUUGUUCUUCCUCCUUUCCUGAAUCUGAACUGCUCUCAGGUAUAAUCAAGACAGACAGAUUCUUGUUCAGUCAAUGGCAACGUCUAGCUCCUUGCUCACCCACAGGUCAAGUCUGCAUGCAUCUGAGACUAAAAAACAAGCCAGCAGCUCGCCUCUCCUCCAGCAGAAGGCUGCUCCUUAACCCCUGCCUCUCACACAAACCAAAUGUCUUUCUUGUUUUCCCAUACCAUUAUUUGUUUCUGGGACAGAGUGCAGCCUUGUACUAGGACUCCAGAAGAUGCUACACGCACUGCCAGGGCUGUGUGCCCCCUCCACAUCCACCAACCCUUUUUAUGUGCUCUGCACGAUGAGGACACUGGGACAUCAGUCGGGACAGGACCACGCUUACACCAUGGUCUGAGGCUCAGUUCAACAUUUUCCUGUUAUGCUCACGCAAGUAUAUACACCAGCACCCCUUGCCACUACCCGAAGGCUCUGUACUCAAUAAAUACCACCACUCUACAACACUCCCUCUCUCUCUCCACAAAAGCACAGGCAUGCAUAUUCAGCCUGGGUCUCAGCUGAUUAGACAAAAUUAAAGCUAUGAACAUUAAAUUCCCUUUCAUCCCUGCAAGAAAACUGAAGAGGAUAUGAAAAUAAGAGUUGCCAAUAUCAGGAAAAAAAAAAAAAAAAAAGGCUCUACAUAAUUCAGUAUACUGCCUCUGGCUCUUCAUCAAAUCGCUUGGGAAAAAGAUCCUUUUCACCUAAUGGCUUACAGAAUUUGUUAACAAUAAAACAUUAAGCUUGCAGAACAA